AGUUCUAGGAGGUUCUGAAAGUUUGUGAGGGGAGUUUGUUGAAGGGAGAAAGUCACUAGGGUCCAGUCUACGAGUGUUUGCACAGUACUCAGUCUCUUUCUUACGCCCUGCCUCCUGUCCACCAUGAGACAAACAGCUUCCUUCUGAAUGUGCUAUUACCACCACGACUGUCUGCCUCACCACAGGCCUAAGGUCUGUAGGGCCGAGGACAAGAGACUAAAUUCUUGGAACUGUGAGAAAAAAUAAAUUCCUCCUCUCUUAGGUUGUUUAUGUCAGAGCAACAAGGAAACCACCCAGUAUAGACAGGGUUCCAGGGGCCCAGCAAAAGCAUCUGCCAAACGAAGGACUAGAUAGAUGCUGGUCCUUCCAGGAACCCGGGAGAUGAGCAGCUCUUGAAUGCUUCUGAAUCUUCAUCCAGGAUCUCACAGGGAGCCUGGGGCAGACAGCCCUGUGCAUUUCUGUCUUGGAACAGCUAUGGAGUGCCUGUCUGUCCCACCACCCCAGAGGCCAGUCUUUCUCCAGGCACCCAUGGGUGUUCUCUCCAGGUCUGGGAAGGGUCUUCCCACGCGUCCCUGGGUGUGACAGUUAACGUCUACUGUCAACUUGAUGGGAUGUAGAACCGCUUAGGAGAUAAACUUCUGAGCGUGUCUGGGUUUUCUAGACUGAGUUAACUAGGGUGGGCAGAGCCACCCUGAGUGUGAGCAGCACCGUUCCAUGGGCUGGGAAAAGAAAAAGGAGAGAGCGAGCUGAGGACAGACAUGCAUUUCUUCUCUGCUGACUGGAUGCCGUGGGAGCAGCUGGCUCCUGACGCCGUGCCUGCCACAAUGGUCUGCACCCUCCAACUAUUGGAACCUAGCCCAGUGGUCACCAGAGAGGCUUCACCCAGCAACGGAUGGGAACAGAUGCAGAGACCACAGCCAAAUGCCAGGUGGAGUUCAAGCAACCCUGCCAAAAAGGAGAAGAGAGGAUCGUAGGAGCCACAGAGCUAAGGACACCACAACCCACAGAAUCAACCAACCUGAGACCGAAACACCAGCCAGGGAGCAUGGAUCUGACCUAUACUCUCUCUGCACACAGGUUCCAGUUGUGUAGCUUUAUCCUGUGGGACCCCUGACAGUGGGAGCAGGGACUGUCUCUGACUCUGUUGCCUGCUUUUGGGAACCCUUUUCCUCAUACUGGGUUGCCUUGUCCAGCGUUAAUACAAGGAGGGGAGGUGCCUGGUCUUACUGCAA